UGGGGAAUUUUGGACAAUGGGCGAAAGCCUGAUCCAGCAAUGCCGCGUGUGUGAAGAAGGCCUUCGGGUUGUAAAGCACUUUUGUCCGGAAAGAAAUCCUCUGGGUUAAUACCUCGGGGGGAUGACGGUACCGGAAGAAUAAGCACCGGCUAACUACGUGCCAGCAGCCGCGGUAAUACGUAGGGUGCAAGCGUUAAUCGGAAUUACUGGGCGUAAAGCGUGCGCAGGCGGUUUUGUAAGACGGAUGUGAAAUCCCCGGGCUUAACCUGGGAACUGCAUUCGUGACUGCAAGGCUAGAGUAUGGCAGAGGGGGGUAGAAUUCCACGUGUAGCAGUGAAAUGCGUAGAGAUGUGGAGGAAUACCGAUGGCGAAGGCAGCCCCCUGGGCCAAUACUGACGCUCAUGCACGAAAGCGUGGGGAGCAAACAGGAUUAGAUACCCUGGUAGUCCACGCCCUAAACGAUGUCAACUAGUUGUUGGGGAUUCAUUUCCUUAGUAACGUAGCUAACGCGUGAAGUUGACCGCCUGGGGAGUACGGUCGCAAGAUUAAAACUUCAAAUGAAUUGACGGGGUCAUAGCUGUUUCC
rnacentral:rRNA from 1 species